ACCUUAUAGGACUUUAAGUUUUUAUGGUGAUUAAUUGUCUCUUAAUCAUUGGGUCAACGGUUCGAAUCCGUUAGGGGGUACCA
rnacentral:tRNA from 1 species